rnacentral:rRNA from 4 species
GGAUGAACGCUGGCGGCGUGCCUAAUACAUGCAAGUCGAGCGAACUGAUUAGAAGCUUGCUUCUAUGACGUUAGCGGCGGACGGGUGAGUAACACGUGGGCAACCUGCCUGUAAGACUGGGAUAACUUCGGGAAACCGAAGCUAAUACCGGAUAGGAUCUUCUCCUUCAUGGGAGAUGAUUGAAAGAUGGUUUCGGCUAUCACUUACAGAUGGGCCCGCGGUGCAUUAGCUAGUUGGUGAGGUAACGGCUCACCAAGGCAACGAUGCAUAGCCGACCUGAGAGGGUGAUCGGCCACACUGGGACUGAGACACGGCCCAGACUCCUACGGGAGGCAGCAGUAGGGAAUCUUCCGCAAUGGACGAAAGUCUGACGGAGCAACGCCGCGUGAGUGAUGAAGGCUUUCGGGUCGUAAAACUCUGUUGUUAGGGAAGAACAAGUACGAGAGUAACUGCUCGUACCUGACGGUACCUAACC